UACAGAGGGUGCGAGCGUUAAUCGGAAUUACUGGGCGUAAAGCGCGCGUAGGCGGCUUUGCAAGUCGGGUGUGAAAUCCCCAGGCUUAACCUGGGAACUGCAUUCGAGACUGCAUUGCUAGAGUAUGGGAGAGGGAAGUGGAAUUUCCGGUGUAGCGGUGAAAUGCGUAGAUAUCGGAAGGAACAUCAGUGGCGAAAGCGACUUCCUGGACCGACACUGACGCUGAGGCGCGAAAGCUAGGGGAGCAAACGGG
rnacentral:rRNA from 1 species